rnacentral:rRNA from 1 species
CAAUAGCGUAUAUUAAAGUUGUUGCUGUUAAAAAGCUCGUAGUUGGAUUUCUGCCGAGGACGACCGGUCCGCCCUCUGGGUGAGUAUCUGGCUCGGCCUGGGCAUCUUCUUGGAGAACGUAGCUGCACUUGACUGUGUGGUGCGGUAUCCAGGACUUUUACUUUGAGGAAAUUAGAGUGUUUCAAGCAGGCUUACGCCUUGAAUACAUUAGCAUGGAAUAAUAAGAUAGGACCUCGGUUCUAUUUUGUUGGUUUCUAGAGCUGAGGUAAUGAUUAAUAGGGAUAGUUGGGGGCAUUCGUAUUUAACUGUCAGAGGUGAAAUUCUUGGAUUUGUUAAAGAUGGACUACUGCGAAAGCAUUUGCCAAGGAUGUUUUCAUUGA